GACACUGACGUCGCGACGCAUAUCAAUAAGCGGAGGAAAAGAAACUAACAAGGAUUCCCUUAGUAACGGCGAGUGAAGCGGGAAGAGCUCAAAUUUGAAAUCUUCAAGGUUCUACCUUGACGAAUUGUAGUUUAAAGAAGUGUUUUCUGUUAGAUGAGUAGGCAAAAGUUCCUUGGAAUAGGGACAUCAUAGAGGGUGAGAAUCCCGUAUUUGGUUCAUUCAUUCUAGCUUUGUGAUACACUUUCAAAGAGUCGGAUUGUUUGGGAAUGCAGUCCAAAAUGGGUGGUAAAUUUCAUCUAAAGCUAAAUAUUGGCGAGAGACCGAUAGCGAACAAGUACCGUGAGGGAAAGAUGAAAAGAACUUUGAAAAGAGAGUUAAACAGUACGUGAAAUUGUCAAAAGGGAAGCGUUUGACACCAGUGUUGUUUUCUCGCAAAAAUCAAUUACAAAUGGCUGGAUUUUGUGUUGUAUUGACCUUUAUCAGCUUUCUGCACUUUUUUCGAGUCUUUCUUAAUGCACUUUUUGGUUAACAAGUCAACAUCAAUUUCUUUUGUUGUAAAAGAGUAUUCGGAAGGUGGCUUUCUUUUCGGAGAAAGUGUUUAUAGCCCUAUACUUCUACAAUCGGAGAGAUUGAGGUCUGCAGCGUAGAUCCUUCGGGGUUAGAUACAUUUGUGCUAAGUUAUAGCUUUUCAUAGACAACUUGUUGACUAUGUUUAGUCUUGUAGCUUACUCGCUUGUGCUAUUUUACCUACGCUUAGGAUGUUGAGUCGUAGAGCACGCAG
rnacentral:rRNA from 1 species